rnacentral:rRNA from 1 species
UACGAAGGUGGCAAGCGUUACUCGGAAUUACUAGGCGUAAAGGGCAGGUAGGUGGUUCGGUAAGUCUGUUGUGAAAGCUCCUGGCUUAACUGGGAGAGGUCAACAGAAACUGCCGGGCUUGAGUAUAGGAGAGGGUACUGGAAUUCCCGGUGUAGCGGUGAAAUGCGCAGAGAUCGGGAGGAACACCAAUGGCGAAAGCAGGUACCUGGACUAUUACUGACACUCAGCUGCGAAAGCUAGGGGAGCAAACAGG